UACGUAGGGGGCAAGCGUUGUCCGGAUUUAUUGGGCGUAAAGAGCGUGUAGGCGGUCAGGUAGGUCCGUUGUGAAAACUCGAGGCUCAACCUCGAGACGCCGAUGGAAACCCCCUGGCUAGAGUCCGGAAGAGGAGAGUGGAAUUCCUGGUGUAGCGGUGAAAUGCGUAGAUAUCUGGAGGAACACCGGUGGCGAAGGCGGCAUCCUGGACCAACACUGACACUGAUGAGCGAAAGCCAGGGGAGCAAACGGG
rnacentral:rRNA from 1 species